rnacentral:rRNA from 1 species
GAACGCUGGCGGCGUGCCUAAUACAUGCAAGUCGAGCGAACGGACGAGAAGCUUGCUUCUCUGAUGUUAGCGGCGGACGGGUGAGUAACACGUGGAUAACCUACCUAUAAGACUGGGAUAACUUCGGGAAACCGGAGCUAAUACCGGAUAAUAUUUUGAACCGCAUGGUUCAAAAGUGAAAGACGGUCUUGCUGUCACUUAUAGAUGGAUCCGCGCUGCAUUAGCUAGUUGGUAAGGUAACGGCUUACCAAGGCAACGAUGCAUAGCCGACCUGAGAGGGUGAUCGGCCACACUGGAACUGAGACACGGUCCAGACUCCUACGGGAGGCAGCAGUAGGGAAUCUUCCGCAAUGGGCGAAAGCCUGACGGAGCAACGCCGCGUGAGUGAUGAAGGUCUUCGGAUCGUAAAACUCUGUUAUUAGGGAAGAACAUAUGUGUAAGUAACUGUGCACAUCUUGACGGUACCUAAUCAGAAAGCCACGGCUAACUACGUGCCAGCAGCCGCGGUAAUACGUAGGUGGCAAGCGUUAUCCGGAAUUAUUGGGCGUAAAGCGCGCGUAGGCGGUUUUUUAAGUCUGAUGUGAAAGCCCACGGCUCAACCGUGGAGGGUCAUUGGAAACUGGAAAACUUGAGUGCAGAAGAGGAAAGUGGAAUUCCAUGUGUAGCGGUGAAAUGCGCAGAGAUAUGGAGGAACACCAGUGGCGAAGGCGACUUUCUGGUCUGUAACUGACGCUGAUGUGCGAAAGCGUGGGGAUCAAACAGGAUUAGAUACCCUGGUAGUCCACGCCGUAAACGAUGAGUGCUAAGUGUUAGGGGGUUUCCGCCCCUUAGUGCUGCAGCUAACGCAUUAAGCACUCCGCCUGGGGAGUACGACCGCAAGGUUGAAACUCAAAGGAAUUGACGGGGACCCGCACAAGCGGUGGAGCAUGUGGUUUAAUUCGAAGCAACGCGAAGAACCUUACCAAAUCUUGACAUCCUUUGACAACUCUAGAGAUAGAGCCUUCCCCUUCGGGGGACAAAGUGACAGGUGGUGCAUGGUUGUCGUCAGCUCGUGUCGUGAGAUGUUGGGUUAAGUCCCGCAACGAGCGCAACCCUUAAGCUUAGUUGCCAUCAUUAAGUUGGGCACUCUAAGUUGACUGCCGGUGACAAACCGGAGGAAGGUGGGGAUGACGUCAAAUCAUCAUGCCCCUUAUGAUUUGGGCUACACACGUGCUACAAUGGACAAUACAAAGGGCAGCGAAACCGCGAGGUCAAGCAAAUCCCAUAAAGUUGUUCUCAGUUCGGAUUGUAGUCUGCAACUCGACUACAUGAAGCUGGAAUCGCUAGUAAUCGUAGAUCAGCAUGCUACGGUGAAUACGUUCCCGGGUCUUGUACACACCGCCCGUCACACCACGAGAGUUUGUAACACCCGAAGCCGGUGGAGUAACCUUUUAGGAGCUAGCCGUCGAAGGUGGGAC